AUUCAGCUGAUGAGUAACAAAUAGGACGAAACGCGCGUCGAACUGGAU
rnacentral:hammerhead_ribozyme from 1 species